CGUGCCUAAUACAUGCAAGUAGAACGCUGACUACUUUAGCUUGCUAGAGUAGAAGGAGUUGCGAACGGGUGAGUAACGCGUAGGUAACCUGCCUACUAGCGGGGGAUAACUAUUGGAAACGAUAGCUAAUACCGCAUAACAGUGUUAACACAUGUUAGAUGCUUGAAAGAUGCAAUUGCAUCACUAGUAGAUGGACCUGCGUUGUAUUAGCUAGUUGGUGGGGUAACGGCCCACCAAGGCGACGAUACAUAGCCGACCUGAGAGGGUGAUCGGCCACACUGGGACUGAGACACGGCCCAGACUCCUACGGGAGGCAGCCAGUAGGGAAUCUUCGGCAAUGGGGGCAACCCUGACCGAGCAACGCCGCGUGAGUGAAGAAGGUUUUCGGAUCGUAAAGCUCUGUUGUAAGAGAAGAACGUGUGUGAGAGUGGAAAGUUCACACAGUGACGGUAACUUACCAGAAAGGGACGGCUAACUACGUGCCAGCAGCCGCGGUAAUACGUAGGUCCCGAGCGUUGUCCGGAUUUAUUGGGCGUAAAGCGAGCGCAGGCGGUUUAAUAAGUCUGAAGUUAAAGGCAGUGGCUUAACCAUUGUUCGCUUUGGAAACUGUUAAACUUGAGUGCAGAAGGGGAGAGUGGAAUUCCAUGUGUAGCGGUGAAAUGCGUAGAUAUAUGGAGGAACACCGGUGGCGAAAGCGGCUCUCUGGUCUGUAACUGACGCUGAGGCUCGA
rnacentral:rRNA from 1 species